rnacentral:lncRNA from 10 species
UCCAAGCCAAGACAGGGCCUUUGUUGUCGGUCGCUCCUCGUCCAUAAAGUUUCCCUUUAAAAAGGGGAGAAGAAUGUUCAGAGAAGUGUGGACACCUCUGCCAUGCGAAUUACAUUUGAUACUGUUCAAAACGAAAGUGUGUGGCCUAGACAACUGUUUUCCUCACAACUCAAGAACCUCCAUCCAGGGACACAAAAGUUUACCGUUUUUUUCACAAAUGAAAGAAAACCAGCCUCAGUGAACCGAUCGGUAGACUUUGAGAGCCGCCUCUCUGUGCAUUCUUUUUUUUUUUUUUUUGAUGAAGUCUCACUCCGUCACCCAAGCAGAAUGG